rnacentral:rRNA from 1 species
AGUCGAGGGGCAGCACGGGUAGCAAUACCUGGUGGCGACCGGCGCAAGGGUGCGUAACGCGUGAGCAACAUGCCCUAUACAGGGGGAUAAUCCAGGGAAACUUGGUCUAAUAUCCCAUAGUAUUUAGAGGAGGCAUCUUCUAUAAAUUAAAGCUUCGGUGGUAUAGGAUUGGCUCGCGUGACAUUAGCUAGAUGGUGAGGUAACGGCUCACCAUGGCAAUGAUGUCUAGGGGUUCUGAGAGGAAGGCCCCCCACGCUGGGACUGAGACACGGCCCAGACUCCUACGGGAGGCAGCAGUGAGGAAUAUUGGACAAUGGAUGGAAAUCUGAUCCAGCCAUGCCGCGUGCAGGAAGACAGCCCUAUGGGUUGUAAACUGCUUUUAUAUGGGAGCAAUAAGGUCUACGUGUAGACUGAUGAGAGUACCAUAUGAAUAAGCAUCGGCUAACUCCGUGCCAGCAGCCGCGGUAAUACGGAGGAUGCGAGCGUUAUCCGGAUUUAUUGGGUUUAAAGGGUGCGUAGGCGGCCGAGUAAGUCAGCGGUGAAAUUUGCAGCUUAACUGUAACAGUGCCGUUGAUACUGCAUGGCUAGGAUUUGGUUGCUGUGGGUGGAAUGUGUGGUGUAGCGGUGAAAUGCUUAGAUAUCACACA